GACGAACGCUGGCGGCGUGCUUAACACAUGCAAGUCGAACGGAAAGGCCCUGCUUGCAGGGUACUCGAGUGGCGAACGGGUGAGUAACACGUGGGUGAUCUGCCCUGCACUUCGGGAUAAGCCUGGGAAACUGGGUCUAAUACCGGAUAGGAGCCAUUUUUAGUGUGAUGGUUGGAAAGUUUUUUCGGUGUAGGAUGAGCUCGCGGCCUAUCAGCUUGUUGGUGGGGUAAUGGCCUACCAAGGCGGCGACGGGUAGCCGGCCUGAGAGGGUGGACGGCCACAUUGGGACUGAGAUACGGCCCAGACUCCUACGGGAGGCAGCAGUGGGGAAUAUUGCACAAUGGGCGCAAGCCUGAUGCAGCGACGCCGCGUGGGGGAUGACGGCCUUCGGGUUGUAAACUCCUUUCGCUAGGGAUGAAGCUUUUUGUGACGGUACCUAGAGAAGAAGCACCGGCUAACUACGUG
rnacentral:rRNA from 1 species